rnacentral:lncRNA from 1 species
AGAGGCAGGAUUUCAAUCACAGGGGUUGGAUUUCUCAACUGUGUUUUAGAAACUUUUGCCAGCACAUUCUUACGACAGGGAGCCCAGAAGGGAAUUAGAAUCAUGGAGAUGCUGCUAAAGGAACAGUGUGGUGCCCCCUUAGCUGAAUAAAGAAUCAUCAGUUGCAGCUGGAAGCUGGAUGGACAGAUGCAAAUUUUGGAAUUUUCUCCUGGUUGACUGCUGUGCUUAGAGUUUUGAUCCAUCAGUGGAGGGAAAUUGAGUGAAAAUGAUCCACAUGCCAAUCUGGGCUGGCAUCUCAUCGCUUAGCCCAGCGUUUGUCUCACAUCUUGUGUGUAAUGCCAGCAACUAAAUCUCCAAGCUCGAUUAGCAAUGGUUACAGCCCAGUGAGCUCACAUCCAGAAACCCCCUUGAAAUGAUGUUUCAUCAGGGAGAACUUUAACCACAAAACCUGCUUCUGAACCAACUGAGGAAGACACCUCAGGUACUGUGACUCUAAUUCUGGGGCAGUUGUUGAAUAAAAUAUGCCAUGACUUUAUGGAUUUAUUUUCUCUC